rnacentral:rRNA from 1 species
AGAGUUUGAUCAUGGCUCAGGAUGAACGCUAGCGGCAGGCCUAAUACAUGCAAGCCGAACGGUAAGUUUGAUAGCAAUAUUGAACCUAGAGUGGCGUAAGGGUGCGUAACACGUAUGCAAUCUACCCGCAACAGGAGGAUAGCUCCCCGAAAGGGGAAUUAACCCUCCAUGAGAUCACACGAGGGCAUCUGAGAGUGAUUAAAUCUGAGGAGGUUGUGGAUGAGCAUGCGACUGAUUAGCUAGUUGGCAGUGUAACGGACUACCAAGGCGAUGAUCAGUAGGGGAACUGAGAGGUUGAUCCCCCACACUGGCACUGAGAUACGGGCCAGACUCCUACGGGAGGCAGCAGUAGGGAAUAUUGGUCAAUGGGUGAGAGCCUGAACCAGCCAUGCCGCGUGCAGGAAGAAGGCCUUCUGGGUUGUAAACUGCUUUUGCCGGGGGAUAAAAUAGCUUUGCGAAGCUAAUUGAAGGUACCUGGUGAAUAAGCCACGGCUAACUACGUGCCAGCAGCCGCGGUAAUACGUAGGUGGCAAGCGUUGUCCGGAUUUAUUGGGUUUAAAGGGUGCGUAGGCGGUUGAUUAAGUCAGUUGUGAAAUGCGGCAGCUUAACUGUCGAGGUGCAAUUGAUACUGGUUGACUUGAGUACAGACGAGGUAGGCGGAAUUGACGGUGUAGCGGUGAAAUGCAUAGAUAUCGUCAAGAACACCGAUAGCGAAGGCAGCUUACUAGACUGUAACUGACGCUGAGGCACGAAAGUGUGGGGAUCAAACAGGAUUAGAUACCCUAGUAGUCC